UAAGGAAUAUUGGACAAUGGACGCAAGUCUGAUCCAGCCAUGCCGCGUGAAGGAUGAAUGCCCUCUGGGUUGUAAACUUCUUUUAUAGGGGAAGAAAGAUACUUUUUUUAAGGUAGUUGACGGUACCCUAUGAAUAAGCACCGGCUAACUCCGUGCCAGCAGCCGCGGUAAUACGGAGGGUGCAAGCGUUACCCGGAUUUACUGGGUGUAAAGGGCGUGUAGGCGGUUUCUCAAGUCCGAUGCUAAAGACCGAAGCUCAACUUCGGGAGUGCGUUGGAUACUGUGAGGCUAGACGGUCGGAGAGGGUAGCGGAAUUUCCUGAGUAGCGGUGAAAUGCGCAGAUACAGGAAGGAACGCCAAUAGCGAAAGCAGCUACCUGAACGAUUUGUGACGCUGAGGCGCGAAAGCGUGGGGAGCAAACC
rnacentral:rRNA from 1 species